CCCUAACCGUGCGAAGGUAGCAUAAUCACUUGUUCUUUAAAUGAGGACUCGUAUCAACGGCAUCACGAGGAUCCUACUGUCUCCCCCCUCUAAUCGGUGAAACUGAUCUCUCCGUGAAGAAGCGGAGAUGUACAUAUAAGACGAGAAGACCCCAUGGAGCUUUAAACCCAACAACACCCGCCCCCCUCCAAAUCCUAUUAUUUACCCGGUGAUUGUUUGUUUGGUUUUAGGUUGGGGUGACCGCGGAGUAUAAGAUAUCCUCCAUGAAAAAAAGCUAACUGCCCUUAUUAGAGAAAGACACUUCCAAAAAAUAAUAAAUUAAUUUUAAAUGAUCCGACAUUCGAUCAACGAACCAAGUUACCCUGGGGAUAACAGCGCAAUCCGUCCCGAGAGCCCCUAUCGACAGGCGGGUUUACGACCUCGAUGUUGGAUCAGGGUAUCCCAGUGGUGCAGCAGCUACUAAAGGUUCGUUUGUUCAACGAUUAAAACCCU
rnacentral:rRNA from 1 species